rnacentral:rRNA from 1 species
AAAGGCCCGAAAGGUGACGACCCUUCGGGGAGCUUGCACAGGUGCUGCAUGGCUGUCGUCAGCUCGUGUCGUGAGAUGUUCGGUUAAGUCCGCUAACGAGCGCAACCCUCGCUGUGUGUUAUAUGUGUCACACGGGACUGCCGGUCUUAAGCCGGAGGAAGGUGGGGAUGAUGUCAAGUCAGCAUGGCCUUUAUAUCCUGGGCUACACACACGCUACAAUGGCCAACACAAUAGGUUGCUAAGCCGCGAGGUGGCGCCAAUCCAUAAAGUUGGUCUCAGUUCAGAUUGUAGGCUGCAACCCGCCUGCAUGAAGAUGGAGUUGCUAGUAACCGCAGGUCAGCUAUACUGCGGUGAAUACGUUCCCGGGGCUU